GGUCUUUGCAGACCUGUCGCUUUCCAUGAGUAUGCUUCUGUUCUAAUCCUAGCCUGGCAGCAAUCAAAGUUACCAUGUCUCCAUGUACUAAGCAAGUUGCUGGAGUUAUACAGAAUACAUAGUGACAUCACAUCUACAGAAGAAAGAAAAGUCUCACAGCUUUCAUGCCAGGCCACCACAGCCAUUUGUCAUCUUUACUGUUGGGGAAUAACCUUGAGAUGAAACUGACCUUGAGGAGGGGACAUUUUUCUCAUGAGAUGCUGAGGUGACCAGAAGCACUGGAGGAGGACACGUGGGGACUGGUAGGUGAGCAAAACACAUAUAGGACACUGCUGAUGGCUGCUAUUGAACGCUUGCUCCAUGCCCUGAGCGUAUAACAACCCAUUUCGUCUUGGGGAGAGCUUAAGAAGGAAAGCCUGAGCACAGGCCCUCAGGUCCUCCAGAGAGACACAGAAACAGAAUGAGAGAAGCAGGCUGCCCCAGUGGAGCCAAAUACAACCCAGGGAUGCUCUAAGCCCCCCCCCCUCUUGAUUGUGGUGCUGAGUGUCCUAAAGCUGAGCUGUGAAAAGUCACAAGAAGAGAAGGCCAACAAAGGCAUAAAGGAUUUACGGCAAUGGCUUUACUUGAGGUGAACCUACAGAAGACCAACUUAGAAAAUGCUUGCAUUGGAUUGGCCUGUAGGCAACUCUGAGGGGCACUGAGGACUCUUCCACGCUGGAGUGCCAAAGCCCCGUGGCCAUGGCCAUGCCUGGGCAGGUCAUUUUGGAUUGCGUAAGAAAGCAGGCCAAGCAAGCCAUGGGGAACCAGCCAGUAGCAGUUCUCCUUCACAGUUUCCGUGUUAGCGUCCGCCUCCAGGUUCCUGUCUUGAUGAUAGGCUACCAAGCUGUUAGAUGAAACUGUUUGGCUGGAGCCCCUGCUACCCCUGCACAAAUUGGAAAACCCCAUCUUCCCUCCUUCCCCCACGCCACCCUCCCUUCACAGAGAGAACUCUCUGCCCACACGGGAAUACUCCGGGCUAACGCGCCAUCACUCAUCUCUGAGUUUCCGGCAACCCACCUGAGGGCCCGCCCAGGGCCUCAGCUUUUGACCAUGUAUGGACACAAUCCCGACUCCUAGGUGACAUGUCAUCACUCCCUGCCAAAGCUCUGUAAAACCCCCUUGCUUUACCCUGGGUGCACAACUUCACUGACCUUCACCUGUGAGAUGGGAGAACCCACCAGAGAGCUGCCUCCACGUAAACCUGCCUUUAUCUGC